CUGAAUUUGAAUAUUUCUGCUCGAGCCGCCUCGAGGCUUCGAAAUGUAGAGAGUUAAUACUGCAAGGAAACUUCGCUUUUAUGAAACGUUUAUGAAAUAAAAUCGGUGUGUCAUGCAGAGGGAAAGGUCAGUAUUAAAUUUAGCUAUUUUUUAAACGUUUUUGAGUUGUUCUUGUUAAGUUAUUGCUGUUUUUUAAAACACGUGUCUACAUUCAUUGUAGUACUAUUGAAUUUGAUUCUCAUUCAAGCGCUUCGUUUCAGCGCUGAGUCGCUUUAUUUUCUCAGUGUCUCUCCCUAAUUUCCUAGCAGCAAUGUUCAGAAAUACCCCAGCUUUGAUUUACUUAACUCAUAUUUGGUUUAUCUGCAAUUUCAGGGCGAAAAUUUGAAGAGAAAGUGAACUAAUUUAAGUCGCCGACAUGGUCGAAAUGCCGAAGCACUUGGUAAGCAUAAUGUCGAUUAAAGGCGUUUCCUUCUUGUUUGUUUCUCGUUUUCAAGCAUCCCCAAUACACGUAGAACGUCUUCUAGCAUUGCUUUGUAGUCUUAUGAACACUCCGAGUCAAGUUUAGUUACAAUAUUGGCAAAACUUUUCCCAAUACCGAACGAAUUGCAGACUUAUUUUAGGCAUGUUCAAUUUCGCAUGCAGGCAUAUAUUUUCGAACAUUUUAGCUUUUACAAACUUGUCGUUUAUGUACAAAUUGUUCUGUGAGAGGGAAGGCUAAGCUUUUUGAGUUUCUUGGGGUUGUCUAAGUUGGAUUUCAUCCAAGAUUUUUACGAAGUUUAGAGAUGAAAUGUCCUCGUGGUCAUGGCCUAAUUUUAUGCAUAGAUGCAGGCAUGCUUUAAAAUUAAAAUAAAUUGAAUUGGACAACCUUAAACGACAUUAAAUAACUCUUCGCCGUUUUGAAACUAAAAAUUCAUUGUCCAAUUGUUUAGACUGCCUCAAAGUCGAUCAUUUCGAUGGCAAACAGUACAGAAAGACCUCUGCACAGAUUUGAAUAAUAAGCGCUCGCCUAGCAGUCGAAGAAAAACGCGAAAAUCGAGAAGGCGAAGGACAAAUGAGACCCGCCACCAGCUCCAUUCCUUUGCGAACUCACAGCAUUCAUCGUCAGAUUUCGUCUACAGUACAAAGUCAGGAGAUUGCCACUCAUCCAGAGACUGUAACAAAGGCGUAUAAUAACAUACUCGAACUGUCUGUUGAGAGAAAUUCAACUGCCUGAAAAUACAAGUAAACUUAUACCAUAGUCUGGCAGUGACGGAACGCUCGAGAGCAGACACACCCAUCCUCAUCAGAUUUCGUUCAAUCAGCCAAUUGUGAAUGAGAUGCAUGGACCUGCGAAGCGACAGUCGACGCCGUACCAUCCAGAGACCCUAACCAAUACGCCAUACCAUCGUGAAAGAUGCUGUACAUUACAAAAGGUAUAUUUUCCUCAUGAUUCUCGUUGUGCGUGUUCGAAAGUACGUGGGGGCCCACCCUGAGGACGCCCAAAUGCACAAAACAAAUUUAAAUAUGGCACCUUUUCCUUAAUUUUGCAAUUUAUUCAAAUUUUUCACAUGUCUUGGUAUUUGUGAAAAGCUCUUAACGUAAUCGAAAUGUUUGAAAUUCGGAAGGUUCUAUCUGGGAGUUUGUUUAUUUGAAAGAUAUUUGAAAUGAAAUUUUGAAGUUUACAUCACUUUGGUGUUUGGUUUAAACGCUAGGUAAAAUCAUGCCAGAUGAGUGGUUGAUCAUUCGUUGAAGUUCGGUGAUGCUUCGGCUCGGACUUUCCCGACCUACAUGUCGAGUUGUUCUGUUCGAUUGUCGUGAUCAACUAGCGCAAAUGUAAGCUAGGUCUGGCCAACAUCGCGGAAAAACGUCUGCGCAUGCGUCAACCUUACCUGUAAUAGUAUUGCGAACUUGAUGAGAAGCUGUUCCGAACGUUUCCGAAGGCUCAAAAUGGCGG
rnacentral:lncRNA from 1 species